AUUGAACGCUGGCGGCAGGCCUAACACAUGCAAGUAGAACGAGUGGCGGACGGGUGAGUAAUGUCUGGGAAACUGCCUGAUGGAGGGGGAUAACUACUGGAAACGGUAGCUAAUACCGCAUACCAUCGGAUGUGCCCCGAUGGGAUUAGCUUGUUGGUGGGGUAACGGCUCACCAAGGCGACGAUCCCUAGCUGGUUCGAGAGGAUGACCAGACACCCUGGAACUGAAGCACGGUCCAGACUCCUACUGGAGGCAGCAGUGGGGAAUAUUGCACAAUUGGCGCAAGCCUGAUGCAGCCAUGCCGCGUGUACGAAGAAGGCCUUCGGGUUGUAAAGUACUUUCAGCGGGGAGGCGUUACCCGCAGAAGAAGCACCGGCUAACUCCGUGCCAGCAGCCGCGGUAAUAC
rnacentral:rRNA from 1 species